GGACGUUCUCCCGGAGCCCCCCAUGAUGGUGGUACCCUGGCUCCAGGGAGGAGGUAUGGGCACACAGCCCUCCUGGUCUGUACAGCUGCAGGAACCUUAAUUGCCUGUGCACAUUUAAAUCACCUUUAAAUGCACUCUAUGGCAAGUGCCAUGGGUCGGGUGAGGUUCACGUUGCACAGCUCGUGCUCGGCUGUCAGCCUGGGCAGACAGCAGCGAUGCCCCAGCACCACAGCGAAGGGGCACAAGCCCUCAGGACCACGAAGACGACGUCUCCUGGAGCCCUGCGUGUCUCUCCAGGCUCUGCUCACCCUGAUCAGCCUCACCUGGGCCUGCUGCCAUCCACCCAUGUUGAGGACUGGCUCGCUGCACGUAAUCACAUUGAUAUCAUGCAGCUGCAAGAUAAGGAAAUGGCGGAUUACCGCACCCAGCUGGUCUAGAGAAACAAGAGCAAAGACACGUACGCAAGGCUUGUCUGGGAACUCUUGUGAGAAAUCCCAGGCAAUUAGAAACAAUGAUAGUAGAGGGCAUACUGCCCUGGGAGUUAUAGUUAGAUUAGAAAUGGGAACUAGCGGAUAGAAGAAUGCGAAACUAACAGAUAGGGCAGUAUAUGACGCUUACCAAUAAAGAGCUUGGCUUUUGCAAUAUGUAUGAGCUAAUUAUCCUGUACACGAUAAAAGACAAUUGAGCUAUCCAUUAAAGCUGAAGCAUACUUAACACUCAUAUUGAGCGUUUGUGUCUUCCCUCCGUCGACAACACACCCACCUCCAGCCCUUGGCCUGGGGCUGUAUUUAAGCUCCCAGCUCUGCUCCUUGCCCUGGCUGGGUUGUGCUUUGUGGUUGCUUUUAGAGCUGCCUCAUUGUGAGGGAUGUUCCUGGGGACUGUCACCAUCCUAGAACCAGCCCUGCUUGGCUCCUGCCUUCCUGCAGCUGCUCCUUGGCGUUUUAUCCCCAGCCUGAGGAUGAAGGGGUUAGCUGCUCAUUCCCAUCCAUCGCUAAAAAUCCUAAAUCAGGAGCUGAUCUUCAGGGCUCAGAGAGAGAUUGUGCCUCCUGACUCUAGCUGCUGGCAGCGUUUUAAAGCACCAGAGGCUGCAGGGACACACUCAGCAACAUGGCUGCUGCUGGGGGCUGGGGCGCACCAUGGGGAGAGAGCUGAAGAAGCACAGAACGUGACAAUAAAGAUGAGGAACAGAGGUACGGAGAGCUGGAAGCAGCUGGAGGAGAAUUGCAAUGAGGUGACAAGAAGCCAGCGCUCAGCAGCUGCUCUGUGCACCCAGUGGCCCAGCACGCUGCGUGAGGCGCUGUGUGCGUCUGGCUUGGUUACUUUAAAUAAGUAUUGCAAUAAUGUGGGGGACACUGCUCUGCAACGCACGGUUAGACGUUCAGGUGGGACGCUGGUGUUCUAGCUGGGGUGCUGAGGUGCUGUUUGGGGAAACCUGCUGUGGUUUUCAUGGCUGCACCAAGGCUGUGACCAGCCUUGAGAGUGGCCACAGUGGCUGUGCUCAGCGGCAGGCAACCCCUCUCCUGGGACACAACAGGCUUGGAGACCCCAGGGAUCUUAAAGACAAGAGCUGGGGAUAACGGCCAGGUGCCUGAAACCACAGGGGGAGGUUGUGUGUCCCAGUAGCACAGCCACAAUGAGAGGCAGGCCGGGUGCCUUGCUGCAGUACAAGUGUGGGAUCGCUGCAGGCUUUAUUGCUCCUCCGUGCCCCCCUGCAGGCUGCUGUCCUCCUCCUGAGCUCUGCCACCAGCUGCAAAACCACCUGCAGGGGUUGAGGGGAGCCCGGAGACCAGUGAUGAGUUAACCACAGCUCCUGGGCCUCUGCCCAUAAGCACAGCUCUGUAAUUCUUCCCCUGCGAAGUACUUGUUUACAGCCUGAUUUUUCACCAUGUUAUCUCUGGUGUCUGUGGCCAAAUGCUCACAGGCUUUACUUCUCAGAGCAUGGUCAAAGAGGUGAUCCGCCUGUUUCUGCUCUCUCUUGCUAAGGUGACAAUUUUGUUCUGUAGGAAGAAUACAGGUUUCUGCUGCCAGGGAUUUACUGGGAAACUGAGCUGUGGGUUGGCCUCCAAGAGCUGGGCAGGCACCAUAAAAUUCCUCCUUCACUGAAAUCCCCAUCUGAUUCCUGCCAAAUGCAUCCAGAAGCUCGCCAAGCUUGCCUUACACUCCUUUCCAC
rnacentral:lncRNA from 1 species